rnacentral:lncRNA from 1 species
AACAAAUACAAUUCUUGUACAGAGGAGUUUGCCCGUCUUCCUGAAGCCAUGGUACCAGCCAUUUCAUGGCCCCAGGGCCUCAGCGUCUACUCCAACAUUGUGCUAAUUUUAGAGAACAGAGCAGUGAAUAAAGUAAAUAAGUUGUCUGCCAUCAUGGAGCUUCUAUUCUAAUGGAGAAGAGAUAAGCAAGGGAACAAAUAAGUAAGUAAGCUCAUUCUGUAUGGUGAUAAUGUUAUGAAGUAAAUACCCAGGGUGAUGGACUGGAGAGUAAUGGGAAGAGGCCCAUUUUACAUAGGGUUGUCCCAGGGCAGUUGAUUGAAGGUCCAACAGGUGAGGUUAAACCAGCUUUGGGAGGAUCUGGGGAAAAGCAGGCCAGGAAGAGAAAAAAGCAGCUACCAGGGCCUGAGGUGGGAAGGGGCCGGUAUGUUCUGGGGCCAGUGAAAUGAAACAAGGCCAGAGUGGGAGGAGAGAUGCUAAGAAAUAAGCCUAGAAAGAAGAACACAAGGGAGGAUGAGCAGGGACUUGGGGGCCCCAUCUGGGAGUUUGAGUUUUAUUUGUAGCACAAUGGAAGGAUAUUGGAGGGUUUUCAGUGGUAGAC